AUGGCAGGCCGGUCCGUCGCCCCGACAUUUGUGCCGGGGAGGAAAGUCCGGGCAACAGAGAGCACCAUCCUUCCUAACGGGAAGAUAUCCGAAAGGGUAUAGUAGUGUAACAGAAAAUAACAGUCCCGACUUGUCGGGAUAAUGGUGAAAAGGUGAGGUAAGAGCUCACCGGUUCCGACGGUGACGCCGGGAGCCGUACACCUGAUGGGUUGAAAGACCGCGUAUACCGGCAUCUGAGGGCUGCUCGCCCGAGCCGGGGGGUAGGUCGUAUGACCCCGUCAGCAAUGACUGGGCAAGAUAAAUGACGGAACAGGUGCAUAAGUCCUCUUGCAGGAUACCGCAUCGCGACAGAACCCGGCUUACAGGCCUGCCUUAAGA
rnacentral:RNase_P_RNA from 1 species